rnacentral:lncRNA from 10 species
AGCUGCAGCGGCCACCUGGAGAGCAGUGAAGCCAGUGCGCCGCCCACCUGGAAAGAUUCUCUCUAGAUCCAAAGAAAAACAAGAGGGUUCUUUUUGCCUUCUACUCCUCAAAACACACCAGCAGCUCAGCAAUUGGAGGGGAGGCUGAAGGACAAAAACAUUGCUAUCCCAUAGAGCAACGGUAUAAGAGCCAAUAGAGACUCCUGGCGCUGGAAGUCACGGAUCCGAAAGAAGGCGCCCAAUCAUUUGGUUUCUUUGGAUCGUUAUUGAGUCUUCUGUCAUCAUAGUUCACCCUCCUACUCGAAUGCCUCCCGUGGGGCCCUUACCCUUGCUCUCCUCUGCCUGGAAUGCCCGCCUCUUCUUGCAUUCAAGCCCCUGGGUUCUAUUCAGGUAACUCCCAUUCAUCCUUCAGUUCUGUGUUCAACAUCCAUUCUCACUCAGUCUUUCUGGGUUUGAUCAAUCCUUCCUCGCCCCAUGCAGGGGCGAGAGGCAAGGGGCGAAGCAGGAUUACUUAUCCUCUGUGUUCCAGUUUAAAAAUUUUUUUUUUUACUUUUUUUUGAGACGGAGUCUCGAUCUGUCGCCCAGGCUGGAGUGCAGUGGUGCGAUCUCGACUCACUGCAACCUCCACCUCCAGGGUUCACUCCAUUCUCCUGCCUCAGCCUCCCGAGUAGCUGGGACGGCAGGCGCCCGCCACAACGGCCGGCUAAUUUUUUGUAUUUUUGGUAGAGACGGGGUUUCACCAUGUUAGCCAGGAUGGUCUCGAUCUCCUGACUUGGUGAUCCGCCCGCCUCGGCCUCCCAAAGUGCUGCGAUUACAGGCGUGAGCCACCACGCCCGGCCAAAUUUUUCCUUUUAUAUGCUUUAUUUUUUAGAGCAGUUUUAGGUUCGCAGCAAAACUUAGCAGAAAGUAUAGAGCAUUUCACCUGCCUUCCCCACUAUUGACACCCCACAUUAAAGUUGUACUUUAAUUAUAAUCUGUUAACCUACAUUGACACCACAGUAUUACCCAAAGUCCAUAGUUUACAUUAAGGUUCACUCUAGGUGUUGUGUCUUCUACGGGUUUUGACAAAUAUAUAAUGACGUAUAAUGUCCACCCGCCUCAACCUCCCAAAGUGCUGGUAUUGAAGGCGUGAGCCACUGCACCUGGCGGUCAGAAUGGUUUCUUUUACUCAAAUAUGCAUUUAAGGUUCUUCCAUGUUUUUUUCAUGGGUUGGGAUCUCAUUUUAUUUUAGCCCUGAAUAAUAUUGCAUUGUCUGGAUGUACUAGUUUAUUUAUUCAGUCACCUACUAAGUGACAUCUUGAUUGCGUCCAAGUUUUGGUAUGAAUAUAACUGCUACUAACAUCUGUGUGCAGAUUUUUGAGUGGACGUAAGUUGUUUUUGUUUUUCGUUUGUUUGUUUGUUUUUUGAGACGGAGUCUUGCUUUGUUGCCCAGGCUGGAGUGCGGUGGCGCCAUCUAGGCUCACUGCAAGCUCCGCCUCCCGGGUUCACGCCAUUCUCCUGCCUCAGCCUCCCAAGUAGCUGGGACUAUAGGCGCCCGCCACCAGGCCUGGCUAAUUUUUUGUAUUUUUAGUACAGACGAGGUUUCACCAUGUUAGCCAGGAUGGUCUCGAUCUCCUGACCUCGUGAUCCACCCUCCUCGGCCUCCCAAAGUGCUGGGAUUACAGGCGUGAGCCACUGUGCCCGGCUGAGUGGACAUAAGUUUUAAACUCAUUUGGGUGAAUACCAAGGAGCAAGACUGUUGGAUCAUAUAGUAUGUUUACUUUUGUAAGAAACCGCCAAACUGUCUUCCAAAGCUGCUCUACCAUUUUGCAUUCCCAUCAGCAAUCCUCACAAGCAUUUGGUGUUGUCAGUUUUUAAAAAAAUUGUAGCCAUCCUAUUAGGUGUGUAGUGGUAACUCAUUGUUUUUUGAUUUGCAGUUCUCUAAUGACAUAUGAUAUUGAGUAUCUUUUUCUGUGAUUAUAAUCUGUAUAACUUCUCUGUUGAGGUAUCUGUUCAGGUAUUUUGCCUAGUUUUUGUUUUGUUUUGUUUUUUGAGAUAGGGUCUUACUAUGUUACCCAGGCUGGAGUGCACUGGUGUGAUCAUAGCUCACUGUAACCUCAAACUCCUGAGCUCGGGCAAUUCUGCCUCAGCUUCCCAAGUAGCUAGGACUGUAGGUGUGAGCCACUGUGCCCAGCUAAUUUUUUUAUUUUUUAUUUUUUGUAGAGAUGGGAUCUCACUAUGUUUCCAAGGCUCAUCUUAAACUCUUG